rnacentral:rRNA from 1 species
CAGUCGCCGCGGGAAUACGGUGGGAGCUAGCGUUGUUCGGAAUUACUGGGCGUAAAGCGCACGUAGGCGGCUAUUCAAGUCAGAGGUGAAAGCCCGGGGCUCAACCCCGGAACUGCCUUUGAAACUAGAUAGCUUGAAUCCAGGAGAGGUGAGUGGAAUUCCGAGUGUAGAGGUGAAAUUCGUAGAUAUUCGGAAGAACACCAGUGGCGAAGGCGGCUCACUGGCCCGAUACUGACGCUGAGGUGCGAAAGCGUGGGGAGCAAACAGGAUUAGAUACCCGCGUAGUCCCUGUCUCUUAUAC